UACGUAGGCAGCAAGCGUUGUUCGGAGUUACUGGCGUAAAGGGUGCGUAGGCGGCUUUUUAAGUUUGGUGUGAAUCUCCGGCUCAACUGGAGGUGCGCCGAAUACUGAGAGGCUAGAGUGCGGGAGAGGAAAGUGGAAUUCCUGGUGUAGCGGUGAAUGCGUAGAUAUCAGGAGGAACACCGGUGUGUAAACGGCUUUCUGGACCGUAACUGACGCUGAUGCACGAAAGCGUGGGUAGCAACAGG
rnacentral:rRNA from 1 species